rnacentral:misc_RNA from 1 species
GCAAACUUGGUCAUUUAGAGGAAGUAAAAGUCGUAACAAGGUUUCCGUAGGUGAACCUGCGGAAGGAUCAUUGAUGAGUUCAAGGCGGUGUCAGACCGUGCUGGCCCUUUGGGGCAUGUGCACGUCUGGUGUCGUCCAUCUCACACACACACCUGUGCACGCUAUGGAGGCACAACACGUUUGUAUGGUUUGCUGGCUUCAAUCGGCUCUCCUGGGAGCGGGUUGUCCUUCUACUUUUUCACACACACCUUUGACAUGUCCCGAAUGUAUUAUGAAUGUAACCAACACAACUUUCAACAACGGAUCUCUUGGCUCUCGCAUCGAUGAAGAACGCAGC